CGGGUGCAUGAUCGCUCGGGUCUUUAAGGCCUGAGAGGAAAGUCCGAACUCCGCAGGGCAGGAUGGUUCGUAACGCGAACGCCGGGUGACUGGCGGAAAGUGCCACAGAAAAUAUACCGCCGGGUCUUCGGAUUCGGUAAGGGUGAAAUGGCGAGGUAAGAGCUCACCGCCUGCACAGGUGACUGUCAGGGCAGGGUAAACCCCAUCCGGAGCAAGACCAAAUAGGAAGACGUCCCGCAGGAAGUGCCUUUGAGGUACAUUUUGUGGGUAUGGUUGCCCG
rnacentral:RNase_P_RNA from 1 species